GACGAACGCUGGCGGCGUGCUUAACACAUGCAAGUCGAACGGAAAGGCCCUGAUUUUGUGGGGUGCUCGAGUGGCGAACGGGGGAGUAACACGUGAGUAACCUGCCCUUUACUUUGGGGUAACUUCAGGAAACUGGGGCUAAUACCGGAUAGGAGCUCCUGCUGCAUGGUGGGGGUUGGAAAGUUUCGGCGGUUGGGGAUGGCCUCGCGGCUCAUCAGCUUGGUGGUGGGGUAGUGGCUUACCAAGGCUUUGACGGGUAGCCGGCCUGAGAGGGUGCCCGGCCACAUUGGGACUGAGAUCCGGCCCAGACUGCUACGGGAGGCAGCAGUGGGGAGUAUUGCACAAUGGGCGGAAGCCUGAUGCAGCAACGCCGCGUGCGGGAUGACGGCCUUCGGGUUGUAAACCGCUUUAGCCUGUGACGAAGCGUGGGUGACGGUAAUGGGUAAAGAAGCACCGGCUAACUACGUG
rnacentral:rRNA from 1 species